rnacentral:lncRNA from 12 species
CGUCUUCCUUUUCCUCCUUCUCCUGCUUUUCCUGCUUUUCGUUUUCCUUCGCCCACUUCUCCUCCUUUUCUUUCUCCUCCCUCUCCUGAUUUUCCUUUUCCUGCUUUUCCUUCUCUUCCUCCUCCUCCUUCUCCUGCUUUUCCUUCGCCCGCUGCUCCUCCUUUUCCUUCCUCCUUUUCUUGCUUUUCUUGCUUCUCCUGCUUCUCCUGCUUCUCCUUCCCCCGCUGCUCCUGCUUUUCCUUCUCCUGCUUUUCCUUUUCCUGCUUCUCCUGCUUUUCCUUCGCCCGCUGCUCCUCCUUUUCCUUCUCCUCCUUCUCCUGAUUUUCCUUCUCCUGCUUUUCCUUCUCUUCCUUCUCCUCUUUUUCCUGCUUUUCCUCUUUUUCCUGCUUCUCCUUCUCCUUUUCCUUUUCCCACUUCUCCUCCUUCUCCUGCUUUUCCCGAUUUCCUGCUUUUCCUUCUCACGAUUUUCCUCCUUUCCUGCUUUGUCUCCUUCUCCUGCUUUUCCUGAUUUUCCUCCUCCUGUUUUUCCUUCCCCUCUUUUUCCCGGAAUUCCCAACUCAGGAUUUCUCUCUUCUGCCUCCAACCCCAGCCCAGAAUUACCCGGAAAAUUCCUCUAAAAACUCCCAAAAAAUCCAACGGGGAUUUAAAGCACCCUGUGCAUAGAUUCUUUAUUUUUCACCAAAAAAGCCCUUUCAUUUGGCCCCAAAAUUCCCUUUCUUUUUCCAAAAUUCCCCUUUUGUUGGCCAAAAAAAUUCCCUUUAAUUUUCCAAAAAAAUGCCUUAAUCUUCCCCAAAGAUCUCUUUCAGUGGGCCCCAAAAUUCCCUUGAUUUGGCCUCAAAAAUUCCCC